GACGAACGCUGGCGGCGUGCUUAACACAUGCAAGUCGAACGGAAAGGCCCUGCUUUUGUGGGGUGCUCGAGUGGCGAACGGGUGAGUAACAAGUGAGUAACCUGCCCUUGACUUUGGGAUAACUUCAGGAAACUGGGGCUAAUACCGGAUAGGAGCUCCUGCUGCAUGGUGGGGGUUGGAAAGUUUCGGCGGUUGGGGAUAGACUCGCGGCUUAUCAGCUUGUUGGUGGGGUAGUGGCUUACCAAGGCUUUGACGGGUAGCCGGCCUGAGAGGGUGACCGGCCACAUUGGGACUGAGAUACGGCCCAGACUCCUACGGGAGGCAGCAGUGGGGAAUAUUGCACAAUGGGCGGAAGCCUGAUGCAGCAACGCCGCGUGCGGGAUGACGGCCUUCGGGUUGUAAACCGCUUUCGCCUGUGACGAAGCGUGAGUGACGGUAAUGGGUAAAGAAGCACCGGCUAACUACGUG
rnacentral:rRNA from 1 species